UGGUCAUUUUGCUAAUAUUUGGCAUGUUUUUUUAUUGCUCAAAUGAUUGGAUUUAAAGUGUGUAUGCCUCGUAUUUGGAGAUGGUAUAUGUUCGGGUGUGAAUUCGAAGGCGAUUAUAUAUGGCACGUUAUCAAGAUAUUAUAUUUUAAAAUAUAUGUUUAUAUAUAUAUAUUAACAGCAUAAGAUAUUAUAUAUCUCCAUUUAUAUAAAGAUAUUAGUAUAUAUAAUUACGUAUAACGCACCUUGAAAUGGAAAUUAAAAAUUCUCAAUCAAUUUGAAUCCCAGAAUUAUGCAUAAAGGAACGCGAUUAUGGGAGGUUUGCCAUGAAGGGCAUUGCCUUCAACUUUUAUAUAAAGUAACAACAUAGAAAAAAGGGAAAAAAACGCAACAGACGUUUUUUUAAUUUCUUGACACCCGGUAAUUGUUUUCGACGAGAAGGGGAGAGAGAGAGUGCAGAAUCUUCGAAACGUCAAUUAGGGAAGAAAGUCAUCGGAGUUGCCGUCGUCACACAAAUAUUAGCGAGAUCGCCGGAGGAGAGGUAGGAAGGACGAUAGGGCAAGAGGGGAGGCGAGUGGAUCGGCACGUUGAGCUGCAAACUUGGCUCCUAUUAUUUCGUUAUCUUGAUUUAUGUUAAAUCACUAAUAAUAGUUAAACUUAUUAUUAUUGUUAUCA